GACGAACGCUGGCGGCGUGCUUAACACAUGCAAGUCGAACGGAAAGGCCCUGCUUUUGUGGGGUGCUCGAGGGGCGAACGGGUGAGUAACACGUGAGUAACGUGCCCUUGACUGUGGGAUAACUUCAGGAAACUGGGGCUAAUACCGGAUAGGAGCUCCUGCUGCUUGGUGGGGGUGGGAAAGUUUCGGCGGUUGGGGAUGGACUAGCGGCGUAUCAGCUUGUUGGUUGGGUAGUGGCUUACCAAGGCUUUGACGGGUAGCCGGCCUGGGAGGGUGACCGGCCACAUUGGGACGGAGCUGCGGCCCAGACUCCUACGGGAGGGAGAAGUGGGGAAUAGUGCACAAUGGGCGGAAGCCUGAUGCAGCAACGCCGCGUGCGGGAUGACGGCCUUCCGGUUGUAAACCGAUUUCGCCUGUGACGAGGCGAGAGUGACGGUAAUGGGUAAAGAAGCACCGGCUAACUACGUG
rnacentral:rRNA from 1 species